AUUACUCCAUGGUCCAGUUCUGAGAUAUGUGGACGAAAUAUGUGAGCAUUAUGUGACGUAAAAUUAAGUGAGAGAGCUAUGAAUCAUGAUAAAUAAAAUAAUAUAUGUAAAAAUGAGAGAGCCACAAAAGUUGAAAUAGCUGAUAGAGAUGAAGUAAGAAGCGGGAUAUAGGAUGACGAAUGGGAUGAAUUGACUUGAAUGGGAUUAUAAAUUAAAGGAUAGCCAGGAGGCAUAUUGGAAGAAAUGAAGGGAGAGAUUACAUAUAAUUGCUGAAAUAAAGAGAAAUAUGUGAGACGAAAAGGGAGCAACAUCAGAUUAAAUUAAGGGAGUAAUUGAAAUUAUGGUUAUGGGAGUCAUGUGAUGAAUCCGGAGAGAAAUAAAGUGAAUGGGAAGUAGCGGGAACAUGAAAUGGAAUAAUAGUAGGUUUGGGAAGCGGAAAUGUAUCUCUGUUGAAGAGCAUUAAGAGUGCAUGCAGGUGUUAUGGGAGGGAGGCAGGGCUUGGAUUGGAUGCAGGUAGCGAGAGGAAACUGCAAGGUGCAAAAUGUGAAUAUAAAAGCAGUAGUCAGGAGGUGGAAGGUGGAAUUCAUGUCAAGAAGGAGGAGCAGCAAGAGAGCUAUAUUACAGAGCUCCCUUCUUCAUUUAUUUUAUGCUAAUGUUAUUUAUUACAUUUAUUUUCUGUCCUGGUGUCUUUGUUCUAAGGGUUAAGUUGUCCUGUGGUUGUGUAUUUAGGGAGGAUGGACUUUGUUAAUUGUUUUUUAAAUGUAAGUCAAUCUGGCCGUUAUAGGUCUGAUUGGCUUUUAAAAGUCUAUGAGUUGUAUUAUGGUUGGUUUUUGAUUGUCUUUUAAAAGUCUAUGAGUUGUAUUAUGGUUGGUUUUUCAUUAUUUUUUAAUAAAAUAUGUAUUUACUAAUAUUUGUUAAAAUCCAUUAAUAAAGAGCACCACAGCCUUUUGCCAAGUUAUAUUUAAUAAUGUCGUCUAUGUCUUAUUUGGGGUAUACUUAUAUUUAAAAUAUAUAUAUAUAUAUAUAUAUAUAUAUAUAUAUAUAUAUACCUUAUUUAGAAAAUACUGGCACUCCUUGCUUUAUAAUCAAUGUUGUUCUAUUAUUGUCAGAGACAUCAACGUUUCAGUUCCUCAAUGGAACUUUCAUCAGGACAUCAGAUGAAAACGGAGGUGCUAAUUUAUUCAUACCCACACGUCACUGUCCGUUGGGUAGAAAUAAAUUAUUUUAAGGUGGAGAGUAACAUUUUACUCUUCAAUCUUGGAGACCACUAUAUAUUUUAUAUAACCUUACUUAAAAAAUAACGGAGAGCAAAAAACAGAGCGCAAGAGAAACUUAUGGAGAGCAAAAAACAGGGCGCAAAAGAUACAUUACUUAAAAAAUACAUUACUCAAUUAUUUCUACUGUUUGCUGUUUUGUAGUGAGUAUUAUAGCUUUUUUGUCAUUCUUUGUUUAAUUGUCCUUAUUCUACAAAUUACACUUUUUUUUAUUAUUGUUUACAGAUAAAGUCUAUAAACUGGAAGAAUCAUGGGAAAAUUAUUUUCGGAAUAUUUCAGUCCUACGUGCACUGCGUGUUAUCUACUUGGUCCAGCAUUAUAGGUAGUCGGGAAGAAACCAGUAGAGGCAUUUAUGGUGCUGGAUUUAGAAUUUUCUCCUUCUUUCAACAUACUCAUUUCAUCCCUGCAAUGAAUUCUACUAUCUACUUUUCUUGUAUGUUGAAUUAGUUGUAAAGUGGUUUUAACAUUACAGAAAGGACUUCAAGCAUGUAAUGAACCCAUUCAGAGCAACAUGUAUUGCUGGCAAGUGUUGCACAUUUAACGGUUGUCACAUUUUGCCAUGCAUUCUAGUUCUGAAUUUUUGUUGUGCUGUUUUUUCAUGCGUGUAAAUAACAUUAAAUUUUGUUUGUGCUGAUAACAAUGCCC